CAUGCGUUGGGCCUCAACCUAAAAUAUGACAUCCACCGGGAUGGUUCUGCAUAACUUUUUCACUAUCCAAUGUAUGUAGAUCCUUGGAGAAAAGAUGCCAGAGUCUACCAUGAUAUCAAGUACUAACCAUGACAGUAUUACACACAUUCCAUAAGACAUUACUGACCUUUUGACUCCACCCUUCCAUCCACCCCAGUGCACUAUAGAUCAUGAGGACCCUCUGUCAACCAAAUGACCCUG
rnacentral:lncRNA from 1 species